CCCCUAGAUGUUCUGGGCCGCACGCGCGCUACACUGAACAGUUCAACAAGUCUUAACCUCGGCCGAUAGGUCUGGGUAAUCUUUGAACGCUGUUCGUGAUUGGGAUAGACCUUUGCAAUUAUGGGUCUUCAACGAGGAAUUCCUAGUAAACGCAAGUCAUCAGCUUGCAUUGAUUACGUCCCUGCCCUUUGUACACACCGCCCGUCGCACCUACCGAUUGAAUGGUCCGGUGAAGCCUCCGGAUUGGCGCGCACCUCGGUGCCGCCGAGAAGUUGGCUAAACCUUACCAUUUAGAGGAAGGUGAAGUCGUAACA
rnacentral:rRNA from 1 species